GAUGAACGCUGACAGAAUGCUUAACACAUGCAAGUCAACUUGAACUUCGGUUUGGGUGGCGGACGGGUGAGUAACGCGUAAAGAACUUGCCUCACAGCUAGGGACAACAUUUGGAAACGAAUGCUAAUACCUGAUAUUAUGAUUUUAGGGCAUCCUAGAAUUAUGAAAGCUAUAUGCGCUGUGAGAGAGCUUUGCGUCCCAUUAGCUAGUUGGAGAGGUAACGGCUCACCAAGGCGAUGAUGGGUAGCCGGCCUGAGAGGGUGAACGGCCACAAGGGGACUAGGACACGGCCCUUACUCCUACGGGAGGCAGCAGUGGGGAAUAUUGGACAAUGGACCAAGAGUCUGAUCCAGCAAUUCUUUGUGAACGAUGAAGUUUUUCGGAAUGUAAAGUGCUUUCAGUUGGGAAGAAAAAAAUGACGGUACCAACAGAAGAAGUGACGGCUAAAUACGUG
rnacentral:rRNA from 1 species